AUUUUCUCAUCAGUACAUUGACUCCAGUGUUGUACUUCAGUACAGUUUGUAGGGAUGAAGAAGAAGCAGGAAGCAGAGAAAACACCAAACAUCUCUGAGAUGGAAAAGCUGGAGACGACAUCAACAGAAGGAGAUGAAGAGCUGCAGAAAACGCUUCAGGAAACUUCCUGAAAGAGGUGUAGUUGUUGGUUGGUGACCUGCAGUCGAAGUCUUUUAUCUUAAGAAGGUUCCAGACUGAGUGAAAUGACCUGGAAGUUUCCCAGAGCUUCCUUUACAAGAGGAAAGGAGAGAAUGACGUCCCACAAUUCCUUGUAGCAGCAACAUUUAAAGUGAUUCUUUUCACUGAGCUCCAAAUCUGUAAAUACAGAUCUUCUUGUUCAGACUCAGGUAGAAAUCAUCGUGUAGAACAAAUAUCUUUUAUUCUGGGCCGUUGUGCACUGGUAAGAAGUGAAAUACCAUCAUGAGACUGAAACCAAAGGCAGGUGAAUUUUCUGUCUGAAUUUGAGAAAUUUAAAAUAGGUUUUUACCAGAAAUAAACUUUUUUAAAGCUAAUUAAUGAGAAUUUAACAAAGAAAAAUUCACAGCACAUUAAUUCAGAAAGAUGGCUUUCAUAAAUAAUUUAGUGGAAUUUACAUUUCAACACUAAGUAAAUUUCAUAAUUUGGAAAUCAGAAAUUUCUAAUGACAAUCAGCUUUGAACCAUGAGUUUGAUGAUAUCAUCAUGAUGGAUGCAUUAAGAGUGACCCAGCUUAGUGACUGAAUGUAAAUGUUGUGUCUUUUUGUUUUCCACUUAUCUCAGGUGGAGGUUUUCUACGUUGUGUGAAUGCUGAGUGUUGAGCAGUGUGUGUAUUUUGACUGGGUUGUAUUUAUGUCGAUAUAUCAAAGAAUAUUUUAUGGCCUUGUUGGAUUAAAUACGUGCCAGAAAAAGAUGUAUGUUUUUACUGCUUUGUCUUUGAGCCCUGACCUGACCCUCAAGCAAAUUAUAUUUAACUCUUUUGUUUUGUACAUUAUCACUGGAAACUAUAUAAAAGAAAUACCAGUCUGCCUGGUUCCCCUGGUCCUUUAGCAGCGGAGACACUGGAGCGUCCUUCACCAAAGGACAUGAGGACAUUUCAUGUUGUUGUAUUAUUAGUGUUGGACAGGAAACCUUACUGAACAGUAGCCUACAGCACUGAGUGUGUCACUGUACGUCUUCCAUGUGUUAUAAAUAAAGUUGAUUUUAAAAAGCCUA